AUACGAAAGGUGCAAGCGUUGUUCGGAUUUACUGGGCGUAAAGAGAGUGUAGGUUGUUUAUUAAGUCGGAUGUGAAAUCCCGGGGCUCAACCUCGGAACUGCAUUCGAUACUGGUAGACUAGAGUUCGGGAGGGGUAAGCGGAAUUCCGUGUGUAGCAGUGAAAUGCGUAGAUAUACGGAGGAACACCUGAGGCGAAGGCGGCUUACUGGACCGAUACUGACACUGAGACUCGAAAGCGUGGGUAGCAAACGGGAUUAGAAACCCCAGUAGUCC
rnacentral:rRNA from 1 species